rnacentral:rRNA from 1 species
GACGAACGCUGGCGGCGUGCUUAACACAUGCAAGUCGAACGGAAAGACCCUGCUUUUGUGGGGUGCUCGAGUGGCGAACGGGUGAGUAACACGUGAGUAACCUGCCCUUGACUUUGGGAUAACUUCAGGAAACUGGGGCUAAUACCGGAUAGGAGCUCCUGCUGCAUGGUGGGGGUUGGAAAGUUUCGGCGGUUGGGGAUGGACUCGCGGCUUAUCAGCUUGUUGGUGGGGUAGUGGCUUACCAAGGCUUUGACGGGUAGCCGGCCUGAGAGGGUGACCGGCCACAUUGGGACUGAGAUACGGCCCAGACUCCUACGGGAGGCAGCAGUGGGGAAUAUUGCACAAGGGGCGGAAGCCUGAUGCAGCAACGCCGCGUGCGGGAUGACGGCCUUCGGGUUGUAAACCGCUUUCGCCUGUGACGAAGCGUGAGUGACGGUAAUGGGUAAAGAAGCACCGGCUAACUACGU